GACGAGCGCUGGCGGCGUGCCUAAUACAUGCAAGUCGAGCGAAUCGAUGGGAGCUUGCUCCCUGAGAUUAGCGGCGGACGGGUGAGUAACACGUGGGUAACCUGCCUGUAAGACUGGGAUAACUUCGGGAAACCGGAGCUAAUACCGGAUACUUUCUUUUCUCGCAUGAGGGAAGAUGGAAAGAUGGUUCUGCUAUCACUUACAGAUGGACCCGCGGCGCAUUAGCUAGUUGGUGAGGUAACGGCUCACCAAGGCGACGAUGCGUAGCCGACCUGAGAGGGUGAUCGGCCACACUGGGACUGAGACACGGCCCAGACUCCUACGGGAGGCAGCAGUAGGGAAUCUUCCGCAAUGGACGAAAGUCUGACGGAGCAACGCCGCGUGAGCGAAGAAGGCCUUCGGGUCGUAAAGCUCUGUUGUUAGGGAAGAACAAGUACGAGAGUAACUGCUCGUACCUUGACGGUACCUAACCAGAAAGCCACGGCUAACUACGUGCCAGCAGCCGCCGUAA
rnacentral:rRNA from 1 species